GUCUUGUUGUUCUCGUGUCUGGAACCACUUAUAGACAUUGCAGAACAUCAAGCUUGUGCUUAACGAUGAUGGACUGAACUUCAAGCUUCUCCAUCGUCCACGGGAGAGGAACUGAGAAAGCAAAUUGGUGCAGCUGCUUAUAUCGAGUGCAGUUCCAAGACUCAACAAAUUCCAUGGCCUAAGCCUCCUACAAAGUGGGACGACUUCUGUGUUCUAUAGUUUGAAUGUACUAAUGUUUAUUUGGUUUGAAAUUGUUCUUGGUUCUGUUUCUUAGGUAUACUGAUCAGUUUAUACUUUAUUUUUGAAAGGAAACCAAGUUUUUUUGGAUUGUAAUAUUACAUUUUCUAAUCUUAUGUUUUUAUAUAUUUA